UGCGCAGGCGGGGAUGUAAGUCAGUGGUGAAAUACUGCCGCUCAACGAUAGAACUGCCAUUGAUACUGCAUCUCUUGAGUAUGGUUGAGGUAGGCGGAAUGUGUUGUGUAGCGGUGAAAUGCAUAGAUAUGACACAGAACGCCAAUUGCGAAGGCAGCUUACUAAGCCAUUACUGACGCUGAGGCACGAAAGCGUGGGGAGCGAACAGGAUUAGAUACCCUGGUAGUCC
rnacentral:rRNA from 1 species